rnacentral:tRNA from 1 species
GAAGGUAUAGCUCAGUGGUAAGGGUAUGUGCUUAGCAUGCACAAGGUCCUGGGUCCCAUCCCCAGUACCCCCA